rnacentral:rRNA from 1 species
AACGUAGGUUCCGAGCGUUAUCCGGAUUUACUGGGCGUAAAGCGCGUUCAGGCGGUUUGGCAAGUCGGGCAUGAAAUCUCUCGGCUCAACCGGGAGAGGUUGUCCGAUACUGCUGGACUUGAGGGCAGUAGAGGGUGGUGGAAUUCCGGGUGUAGUGGUGAAAUGCGUAGAUAUCCGGAGGAACACCAGUGGCGAAGGCGGCUCUCUGGGACGGUACUGACGCUGAGACGCGAAAGCGUGGGGAGCGAACAGG